GGUUAAGCGACUAAGCGUACACGGUGGAUGCCCUGGCAGUCAGAGGCGAUGAAGGACGUGCUAAUCUGCGAAAAGCGUCGGUAAGGUGAUAUGAACCGUUAUAGCCGGCGAUGUCCGAAUGGGGAAACCCAGUGUGAUUCGUCACACUAUCGUUAACUGAAUACAUAGGUUAACGAGGCGAACCGGGGGAACUGAAACAUCUAAGUACCCCGAGGAAAAGAAAUCAACCGAGAUUCCCCCAGUAGCGGCGAGCGAACGGGGAGCAGCCCAGAGUCUGAAUCAGCUUGUGUAUUAGUGGAACGGUCUGGAAAGUCCGACGGUACAGGGUGAUAGUCCCGUACACCAAAAUGCACAGGCUGUGAACUCGAAGAGUAGGGCGGGACACGUGGUAUCCUGUCUGAAUAUGGGGGGACCAUCCUCCAAGGCUAAAUACUCCUGACUGACCGAUAGUGAACCAGUACCGUGAGGGAAAGGCGAAAAGAACCCCGGCGAGGGGAGUGAAAAAGAACCUGAAACCGUGUACGUACAAGCAGUGGGAGCACCUUCGGGUGUGACUGCGUACCUUUUGUAUAAUGGGUCAGCGACUUAUAUUCUGUAGCAAGGUUAACCGUAUAGGGGAGCCGCAGGGAAACCGAGUCUUAACUGGGCGUUAAGUUGCAGGGUAUAGACCCGAAACCCGGUGAUCUAGCCAUGGGCAGGUUGAAGGUUGGGUAACACUAACUGGAGGACCGAACCGACUAAUGUUGAAAAAUUAGCGGAUGACUUGUGGCUGGGGGUGAAAGGCCAAUCAAACCGGGAGAUAGCUGGUUCUCCCCGAAAGCUAUUUAGGUAGCGCCUCGUGAAUUCAUCUUCGGGGGUAGAGCACUGUUUCGGCUAGGGGGUCAUCCCGACUUACCAACCCGAUGCAAACUACGAAUACCGAAGAAUGUUAUCACGGGAGACACACGGCGGGUGCUAACGUCCGUCGUGAAGAGGGAAACAACCCAGACCGCCAGCUAAGGUCCCAAAGUCAUGGUUAAGUGGGAAACGAUGUGGGAAGGCACAGACAGCCAGGAUGUUGGCUUAGAAGCAGCCAUCAUUUAAAGAAAGCGUAAUAGCUCACUGGUCGAGUCGGCCUGCGCGGAAGAUGUAACGGGGCUAAACCAUGCACCGAAGCUGCGGCAGCGACACUAUGUGUUGUUGGGUAGGGGAGCGUUCUGUAAGCCUGCGAAGGUGUGCUGUGAGGCAUGCUGGAGGUAUCAGAAGUGCGAAUGCUGACAUAAGUAACGAUAAAGCGGGUGAAAAGCCCGCUCGCCGGAAGACCAAGGGUUCCUGUCCAACGUUAAUCGGGGCAGGGUGAGUCGACCCCUAAGGCGAGGCCGAAAGGCGUAGUCGAUGGGAAACAGGUUAAUAUUCCUGUACUUGGUGUUACUGCGAAGGGGGGACGGAGAAGGCUAUGUUAGCCGGGCGACGGUUGUCCCGGUUUAAGCAUGUAGGCUGGUUGUCCAGGCAAAUCCGGAUAAUCAAGGCUGAGGUGUGAUGACGAGGCACUACGGUGCUGAAGUAACAAAUGCCCUGCUUCCAGGAAAAGCCUCUAAGCAUCAGGUAACAUUAAAUCGUACCCCAAACCGACACAGGUGGUCAGGUAGAGAAUACCAAGGCGCUUGAGAGAACUCGGGUGAAGGAACUAGGCAAAAUGGUGCCGUAACUUCGGGAGAAGGCACGCUGGUGUGUAGGUGAAGUCCCUGCGGAUGGAGCUGAGACCAGUCGAAGAUACCAGCUGGCUGCAACUGUUUAUUAAAAACACAGCACUGUGCAAACACGAAAGUGGACGUAUACGGUGUGACGCCUGCCCGGUGCCGGAAGGUUAAUUGAUGGGGUUAUCCGUAAGGAGAAGCUCUUGAUCGAAGCCCCGGUAAACGGCGGCCGUAACUAUAACGGUCCUAAGGUAGCGAAAUUCCUUGUCGGGUAAGUUCCGACCUGCACGAAUGGCGUAAUGAUGGCCAGGCUGUCUCCACCCGAGACUCAGUGAAAUUGAACUCGCUGUGAAGAUGCAGUGUACCCGCGGCAAGACGGAAAGACCCCGUGAACCUUUACUAUAGCUUGACACUGAACAUUGAGCCUUGAUGUGUAGGAUAGGUGGGAGGCUUUGAAGCGUGGACGCCAGUCUGCGUGGAGCCAACCUUGAAAUACCACCCUUUAAUGUUUGAUGUUCUAACGUUGGCCCCUGACCGGGGUUGCGGACAGUGUCUGGUGGGUAGUUUGACUGGGGCGGUCUCCUCCCAAAGCGUAACGGAGGAGCACGAAGGUUAGCUAAUCCUGGUCGGACAUCAGGAGGUUAGUGCAAUGGCAUAAGCUAGCUUGACUGCGAGCGUGACGGCGCGAGCAGGUGCGAAAGCAGGUCAUAGUGAUCCGGUGGUUCUGAAUGGAAGGGCCAUCGCUCAACGGAUAAAAGGUACUCCGGGGAUAACAGGCUGAUACCGCCCAAGAGUUCAUAUCGACGGCGGUGUUUGGCACCUCGAUGUCGGCUCAUCACAUCCUGGGGCUGAAGUAGGUCCCAAGGGUAUGGCUGUUCGCCAUUUAAAGUGGUACGCGAGCUGGGUUUAGAACGUCGUGAGACAGUUCGGUCCCUAUCUGCCGUGGGCGCUGGAGAAUUGAGGGGGGCUGCUCCUAGUACGAGAGGACCGGAGUGGACGCAUCACUGGUGUUCGGGUUGUCAUGCCAAUGGCACUGCCCGGUAGCUAAAUGCGGAAGAGAUAAGUGCUGAAAGCAUCUAAGCACGAAACUUGCCCCGAGAUGAGUUCUCCCUGAGACUUUAAGUCUCCUGAAGGAACGUUGAAGACGACGACGUUGAUAGGCCGGGUGUGUAAGCGCAGCGAUGCGUUGAGCUAACCGGUACUAAUGAACCGUGAGGCUUAACCUU
rnacentral:rRNA from 1 species